rnacentral:rRNA from 1 species
UACAGAGGGUGCGAGCGUUAUUCGGAAUUACUGGGCGUAAAGCGUGCGUAGACGGCUAUUUAAGUCGGGUGUGAAAGCCCCGGGCUCAACCUGGGAAUUGCAUUCGAGACUGAAUAGCUAGGGUACGGUAGAGGGAAGUGGAAUUUCCGGUGUAGCGGUGAAAUGCGUAGAUAUGAUAUAGAACACCAAUUGCGAAGGCAGGUUACUGAGCCACAACUGACGCUGAGGCACGAAAGCGUGGGGAUCAAACAGG